UCCUGGAACUUGCUCUGUAGUCCUGGCUGGUUCAAAUCCACCUGCCUCUGCCUCCCAAGUACUGGGAUUAAAGGUGUGCCCCGCCGCUGCCACCGGGCUGUGUUUGUGUCUUUGGACUCACAUCACUGACCAGCCUAAGUGAGUCCUUCUUUCUCUUGGUUCCCUAAACCCCGUGUGUACCCCACAGAGACAAACACAGCUUGGACAGGUAUCAGUUAAUACUGUUCCCACUACGGCUGCCACAGUGUAUCAGGUCCCCUCAUUUUACCUACUUUACACAUGUUUUUUAAAGAAGGAAGAGUCUUAGAGAUGCUGAACAAUUUGUCCUUCAAAAUUAGUGGGCUGGAAUUCAAACCCAGACCCUCCCCGACCCUCUUUACCCCCCUUUCUCUGCCAAGCCCAGGGAGAUAUGAAGACAACUGGGUCACUUAAAGUGACCACUUCCUGUCACACAGAUCUGAGAAUACUAAUGUUUUCACUCUUCCCAAUGCUGCCCCCUGACCCCUCCCCCGCAUGCUAAUGUACUGCAUGACUGAAUCCAGACAGUACCUCCCCUCUGCCAGGUCCCCAGUCACCAAGCCUUUCCCAGUAUUAGCCAGGCUCCUCCCUGUCCUCGAGAACAACAUACUGCCUCUUCUGGAGCGCCAGUCACAUCCAAGCAGUUACUUAUUUACAGUCCUUCCCCCACGUGGGUGGGGCCCCAUCUUCCCCGCUUUCCUGGGCUCUACACAGAACUGGAAUGUGCUGAGCUGCAGUCUACCUCCGGAGUGUGGAGUAGCAGAUGGCUGGACACUGAGAUGCUUAUGGGAACUCUGAGUUCACUCCAUCUCCCUCUGCUAACUCUGUGCUCCGCCAACUUCAGGUACCCACCCUGCCCUCCAGCAGCCCUUGGCUAAACCAAGGGAGCAUGUGGUGGCCCCCAAGGCAGCCUGCUUGUUCCCAUUCUCAUCCCACUCAAGUGAUGCCAGGACAGCUCUUUUCCUACCUGACACCUUUCUCCUCUCUCUAUGCCCCCCUCUUUCUACAUGUGAGCCUCCCUGGGACCAGCUGCGAGGUACUUGGGAUUCCUCCGCAUAAGGACAAAGAUCCUUCCCUAAUUUCCAUCUGGAUCUCCCAGUCUCCACCGUACUGGCUGCAGGAGUGGGGGUCAGAGAGAAGGUCAAUGGGGAACUUGCUGCAAACACACUGAAAACAUGGCCAUCCAUAGACCAGACUCCCCACGGACGAGCAGGAACCCAGACACACAGGGAAGGGGAGACUGCAAAUGAACCAAGCCCCACGCCUGCGGAGCCCCACCAAUGGGGACACAAUUUCCAUACCCACUCUACAGACAGACGAUGCAGAGUCCUGGACACCCUGCCCACAACCACACAGCUGGAAAUGACAGCGGCUCUCCUUCUGGCCUUUCUCUCGCUCACGGUGGUAUACUCAAGGGCCACUGUGGCUAGGCCUCCAGUGCUCAAGUCCAUCUACCUCCUCCAGAGGGGACAGGGAACCGGAGACAGGCCACUUCUCUUCCCCGCCUUGUCCCGAACAAGGCUUGUCUGCACAGGGUUUUUCCUUCCUCGCUCAGUUGAAGCCCGCUUUCUCCAGGAAGCCUUCUCUGGUUACCUCAGCUUGUUGCUAGUCCCUAACACUUCUAACAUUUCUCUUAA